GAAAUCCUAGACAGGGAGAACAUUUCUUGACCUAAAUAUUUUUCUACUCUAAUGUCCUUAAUUUUAGAGCUGGACAGGCUGGAUUAUUUGAAAAUAGCCUGGGUGGGUUGUGAGAGGAAAACGAGAAGGCCAGAGGAAUUUGGAGCUGCCAGCAUCUUGGAGUGUGCUGGCUGAUCCCAGUGUGCCGGCUGAUCCCAGUGUGCCAGCUGAUCCCGUGGAUUGAGAAGUGGACCCGAGAAACUUAAAACCAUCAGAGAUGAGGAUGUGUGUGGGGAGCGACUGUUGUGGAAUACAGGUUUCUUCACUGGAGUGAAAGAGUGAACAUUAUCUUAUACGGCAAAGAUAGGAUUAAGUUAAGGAUUUUGAGAGGGAGACCUUAUCCUGGAUUAUCCAGCAGGCCCUAAAUCCUAUGAUGAGUGUCCUUAUGAGAGACACAGAGAAGAGGAGGAGGCAAUGUGACUGGAGUAACAUGAAGGCAGAGAUUGGAGUGACGCAGCCACAAGUCAAAGAAUGCCUGGAGCCACUGGAAGCUGG